UAACGUGAUAACAUGGGCACUUUGCCAGAG
rnacentral:sRNA from 1 species